GACGAACGCUGGCGGCGUGCUUAACACAUGCAAGUCGAACGGAAAGGCCCUGCUUUUGUGGGGUGCUCGAGUGGCGAACGGGUGAGUAACACGUGAGUAACCUGCCCUUGACUUUGGGAUAACUUCAGGAAACUGGGGCUAAUACCGGAUAGGAGCUCCUGCUGCAUGGUGGGGGUUGGAAAGUUUCGGCGGUUGGGGAUGGACUCGCGGCUUAUCAGCUUGUUGGUGGGGUAGUGGCUUACCAAGGCUUUGACGGGUAGCCGGCCUGAGAGGGUGACCGGGCACAUUGGGAAUGAGAGACGGCCCAGACUCCUACGGGAGGCAGCAGUGGGGAAUAAUGCAAAAUGGGCGGAAGCCUGAUGCAGCAACGCCGCGUGCGGGAUGACGGCCUUCGGGGUGUAAACCGCUUUCGCCUGUGACGAAGCGUGAGUGACGGUAAUGGGUAAAGAAGCACCGGCUAACUACGUG
rnacentral:rRNA from 1 species